rnacentral:lncRNA from 13 species
CUGCCCUGGGGUUUUUCCCUUGCAGGGAGAACAGGGCUGAGGGAGUCUCACUUCUGGAGCUGCGGGCUCUGACUCUCAUCCCUCAGUGAGCCCAGUGCCACUCGGUGCUGUAUUUUGUGCCUUCCAGACUGAACUCUGGAUCCCCCAGCUGCCCCUGCCGGGGCUGAUCUCCCCUUCCCUGACCAGCACCAUCCCCCCCAGAGGCUCCCAGCCCCCAAACCCAGUUCCCCCGUGCUGCCAAGGCCCUGCCCUGCAGAUCCCUCCUCCUCUGCAGUCCUGGGCUGGGUGAGGUGCCCUUUCCAUGGACACCCAGCGGCAGCUGCUGCUCAAAGCCUGCUGUGAUGCUGUGCCAGCCCUCCGAGCGUGGCUCAGGGCACCUCUCCUGCCCACCGGCCUGGGGGGAGCAGGAGCCAAGCCCUGGAGCACAAAAGGGGCUGUGUGGCUGCUGUUUGCCCUCCGAGAGCUGGAGGAAACUUGGCAGGGAGAAGAAAGCCUUCAGAAGCUCCUGGGACAGCCGGGAUUUACGUUAAGCUGCUCUCAGGAAAAAAGGGAAUCUUGAGUGGGAGCAGGUACAGCAGAAGGGAUGUGGGCAAAUGGGAUUUGUCUCCAUAUAUCCGAGAGGAGCAGUUCACUGUCACAACUGCAGUUUAUGUGCUCGUGAAUUGCCUUUGUCACCUGCGGGAGGCUGGUUCUGCUCCACUGAGACACCACCUUUGGUUUUGGAGGGGGUCUGGAACAAAAACACCUCAGCCGCAUAUUUUUAACCUGAAUGCCUUUAACUUCAGAGAACAGCAAGAAGGAUUAAAAGCCCCAAAACCUCUGUGAAAGAGGGCAUGGUGCACACAUCUGAGCUGCAGAGCUGGAGAACGCGGAGGCGGCCGUUUGGAAAGAGGGGCAGAAGGAGAGCGAGCUGAGAGGCACAGAGCAUGGACCCCCUCUCCGCGGGGCAAGGAGGGCUCUGGCCCUGUGCCAGUGUCCCGGGCUCAGGAGCAGCAGAAGAUGCUGGGAAAUUACAGCACAAGUUUAUUCCUUCCCUCUUUUUUCUCUUUUUGUUUUCCCCAAGCUUAAGGAAAACUCCCAACAAAGAAAACUUCCUUUUUCCCCUUCUCACAUCAACACGAUUUGCCGGGUAAUGACAGAUGGAGGGCCAAGAUGUGCCAAAUGCCAGCCUGGAAAGGUAAAAAGCUUUGAUAUUCCACAGGAUCCUAGGCCUGUUUGCAAAUUUGGGGCUUUUCAGGAAAAAAAACUUGUCACCAGUUCGAUUUUCUUGGCUCUCCAGGAGCGGAGUCUUUUCUAUCAGCUGCCUCAAGUUUUUAAGAGAGAACUCAAAACUGUUGGUGGAAAUCAGGGGCUUUUCCUCCUCUUUUCCUCCUGUGGGAAAAAUUCAGGCUGAGGAAUUCCAGUGCCUUGAGAGCUGACUGAAAACUGCAAUUUUUUUAGUUUGAAAACAACAAAAUGAGAUUUUCCCCUUCUGCAAAACAAUCAGAAACCAGAGUUUUCCAUGCAGGAAAAUUGGACAAAAGCAGUUAAGUGUGGAGGAAGUCUCAAAUGCUUCCUGACUCUGGGAAUUAUUUUUUUUUUUCAAAUCAUUUGUUUCAAUAAAAAUCUGACAUUUCAAUAGGAGAAAAUGUUUUGUUUGGACUUUUGUGUACAUAGUUGAAAUUUACCAGCAUCAAAAUGCGUUCUGACAUUUAAUGUAUAAUAAUAUGUCAUGAGAUAUUCGAAUAUGCUUCAAACAAAGGGGUCCAGAGAAAUAAUGCCCAGA